ACCCUUGAGCCUCCCUUCCACUCCGGUCUCUCAAGAUGCAGAAUCCUCGAGCCCCCCUUUCACUCCGGUCUCUCAAGAUCCCAAAACCACAAGCCCCCCUUCCACUCCGGUCUCUCAAGAUGCAGAACCCUCGAGCCCCCCUUCCACUC